AGACAAUAAAAGCAGGGGUCCUGUGGAACAAUUUGCUGUGUUCUUCCCUAAGAAGCACUGACAUAGGGAGGUGAAAAUAUGAGAGAGUUGUUCUAGCAGAGGAGAAUAAAACCUGAAAGAAGGUCAGUGUGGCUGGACAUCUCCCUAUGUCUAGUUAACUCUACAGUUUCAUCAGAUUUCAUCUCAAUCAUCACUUCCUUCAGUUCCAUCUAUGUGCUAUCCACAAAUUCAACAACAAAUAGUUAAUUAUUCAAUUUACUUUGACCCUCAUCAUGCACAACUUAAAUACUCAGCUGCAAACUACUGUAAUAUAAGCAAAAUUGUCCCUAAUAAACAUGAAA